CCUACGGGAGGCAGCAGUGAGGAAUAUUGGUCAAUGGCCGGAAGGCUGAACCAGCCAAGUCGCGUGAAGGACGAAGGUGCCAAGCAUUGUAAACUUCUUUUGUCAAGGGACAAAAUCAGGCUCGAGAGCCUGACCGAGGGUACUUGAAGAAAAAGCAUCGGCUAACUCCGUGCCAGCAGCCGCGGUAAUACGGAGGAUGCGAGCGUUAUCCGGAUUUAUUGGGUUUAAAGGGUGCGUAGGGGGGCUGUUAAGUCAGCGGUAAAAGCCCGGGGCUCAACCCCGUCGUGCCGUUGAAACUGGCGUUCUUGAGUGAGCGAGAAGUAUGCGGAAUGCGUGGUGUAGCGGUGAAAUGCAUAGAUAUCACGAAGAACUCCGAUUGCGAAGGCAGCAUACCGGCGCUCAACUGACGCUCAUGCACGAAAGCGUGGGUAUCGAACAGGAUUAGAUACCCUAGUAGUC
rnacentral:rRNA from 1 species